UGCAAGAUUAAGUUUCAUCAUCAUCUCAUCUUCAUCAUUUCAAAAAUUCAAGUUUUGAAGUCGAAGGAUUCUCCCAUUCGGGUCAAAUUCGGGUUUGAGCACGAGGUGAAGGUUUUGGUUGCGGACUCGUAGCGGUUGUUGAGCAUUUAUAACUCUUUAUUAACUUGUUAUCGUAGCUUGGAAGCCAAGGUAUUCAUGUGAAGUUGGAGUAUUGAUUAGCUACUUGUCGUUUC